rnacentral:rRNA from 1 species
AUACGUAGGUGGCAAGCGUUAUCCGGAAUUAUUGGGCGUAAAGCGUGAGCAGGCGGUUGAUUAAGUCUGAGGUUAAAGCGUGGGGCUCAACCCCAUAAAGCCUUGGAAACUGAUUGACUAGAGUACGGGAGAAGUGAAGGGAACUCCCUGUGUAGCGGUGAAAUGCGUAGAUAUAUGGAAGAACACCAGUGGCGAAGGCGCUUCACUAGCCCGAAACUGACGCUCAGUCACGAAAGCGUGGGUAGCAAAUAGGAUUAGAUACCCUAGUAGUCCACGCUGUAAACGAUGACAACUAAAUAUUGCCGCGAGGCAGUGUUGAAGCUAACGCAUUAAGUUGUCCGCCUGGGGAGUACGGUCGCAAGACUGAAACUUAAAGGAAUUGACGGG